rnacentral:rRNA from 1 species
CCUACGGGAGGCAGCAGUGGGGAAUAUUGGACAAUGGGGGGAACCCUGAUCCAGCGACGCCGCGUGAGUGAAGAAGUAUUUCGGGUUGUAAAGCUCUAUCAGCAGGGAAGAAAGACAUGACGGUACCUGACUAAGAAGCCACGGCUAACUACGUGCCAGCAGCCGCGGUAAUACGUAGGGGGCAAGCGUCAUCCGGAUUUACUGGGUGGAAGGGGAGCGUAGACGGCGAUGCAAGUCCGAAGUGAAAGGCGGGGGCCCAACCCCGGGACUGCUCUUGAAACUGUGUGGCUGGAGUGCAGGAGAGGCAGGUGGAAUUCCUGGUGUAGCGGUGAAGUGCGGAGAUAUGAGGAGGAACACCAGUGGCGAAGGCGGCCUGCUGGACUGUAACUGACGUUGAGGCUCGAAAGCGUGGGGAGCAAACAGGAUUAGAUACCCGGGUAGUC